rnacentral:rRNA from 1 species
CACUGUAAGCGGCCGAUCACUCGGAUCACGGCUCGAUGAAGGACGCGGCAAAUUGUGCGACUCGUGUGAUCUGCAGGACCCGUAAACAUUGUCAUUUUGAAUACAUAUCGCAGUCCAUGCUCUAAAGUACUUUGUUCAAUUCUGAAGUA